rnacentral:tRNA from 1 species
GAGCACUGGCCUCCGGAGCCAGGUGCACAGGUUCGAUUCCUGUCGGGCGCACCA